rnacentral:misc_RNA from 1 species
GAUGAAGAACGCAGCGAAAUGCGAUAAGUAAUGUGAAUUGCAGAAUUCAGUGAAUCAUCGAAUCUUUGAACGCACACUGCGCCCGCCAGUAUUCUGGCGGGCAUGCCUGUUCGAGCGUCAUUUCAACCAUCAAGCCCCCGGCUUGUGUUGGGGACCUGCGGCUGCCGCAGGCCCUGAAAACCAGUGGCGGGCUCGCUAGUCACUCCGAGCGUAGUAAUACAUCUCGCUCAGGGCGUGCUGCGGGUUCCGGCCGUUAAAAAGCCUUAUUUACCCAAGGUUGACCUCGGAUCAGGUAGGAAGACCCGCUGAACUUAAGCAUAUCAAUAAGCGGAGGA